rnacentral:rRNA from 1 species
GACGAACGCUGGCGGCGUGCCUAAUACAUGCAAGUAGAACGCUGAAGGGAGAGCUUGCUCUUCUGGAUGAGUUGCGAACGGGUGAGUAACGCGUAGGUAACCUGCCUGGUAGCGGGGGAUAACUAUUGGAAACGAUAGCUAAUACCGCAUAACAUUGACUAUUGCAUGAUAGUCAAUUGAAAGGUGCAAAUGCACCACUACCAGAUGGACCUGCGUUGUAUUAGCUAGUUGGUGGGGUAACGGCUCACCAAGGCGACGAUACAUAGCCGACCUGAGAGGGUGAUCGGCCACACUGGGACUGAGACACGGCCCAGACUCCUACGGGAGGCAGCAGUAGGGAAUCUUCGGCAAUGGACGGAAGUCUGACCGAGCAACGCCGCGUGAGUGAAGAAGGUUUUCGGAUCGUAAAGCUCUGUUGUAAGAGAAGAACGAGUGUGAGAGUGGAAAGUUCACACUGUGACGUAUCUACUAGAAAGGACGCA